UCCAAUCGGGGCCUGUGCCAGAACAGCCGUCAGAGUGUGAGUAAUUGUUUCACUUCCUCCCCCACACCGGAAGAUGAAAAGCAGGAGAUUCUCUGACUGAAGAUGCGUUACCUCACAUAACACGCUGGCGCUGCACAGAGUUUCUUCUUUUUAAAGAGCACACGCAGUGAUUUAUGAUGCUAGUCUGGCACCGAUCGAUCGCAUCUUCAGUCAGAGUCUCCUGUUCUGAACCAGGGAGCAACUGCACCAGGGCCCCCCUGCCCCAGCGAUGGGGUCAGAAGGGGAAGUUACCAAUAAAUUAAAUGUUGCUGCUGGUAUGUGCUGGAAGCCACCCCAGGAGACCAGAAAAAACAAUGUAUCACGUGGAGAAACUUAAAAUAAGGAUCAAAGGACAAAAGCAGAUUUGUGAAGAAAUACAUUAUUUUUCAAUGAGACAGACAAUUCUGUGAGCGAUUCAGUGUAAAUUAUAUGUACGCAGUUCAGUUAUAUGAUCUAUGUGCCCAACUUGUACAGGAAAUUGUGUCAAAUAUCUGUGCUGCUACUGUGUCUCUACAUCAUUUAUGUAAAUGUGCAGAUGCUUACUAUUUGUAUGUGAAGCUGAAUGGAGGCUUGCCGUUUCCUAAUGUGUAAAAUAAUGUCUAGGUGCAAUUAAACCAGUAACUCUGAAUUGUUGAAUUAUCACUAAAUCUGGGCACUCAGAAAAGUUAAAUAUAUAUCUACAAUAGUUCAUAGCAUAAUAUUCAUUAGAAACAGAAAUAACCCAUUAAACGUUAUUUUGUUUUCUUAAAAGCAAAACCUUUAACACAACCAUUAACUGUUAUUUCACCUACACUGUCUACUUCAUUAUUAAAAAUACAGCUUAGACAAUAAUAGCUGCAGUGAUAAAUAAUAUUGAGGGUUCAGUUAACGAAAUACACUCUGUGCUGUUUAGAAGUAGUGGUACAAAUAUAACUGUGAUCUUUGCAAUUUGGUAUACUUUAAACUUGGGUUAUCUUUCAUUAUUAAAAUUGGAUAGUCCCAUGUAAGCAGUUUGGCAGAUUAUCAGUCAUUUUCCUGCAUUAGUAUGGAAAGAUUGUACACUGAACACAGCACCAGAAUUAUCAAAGAGAAACAGGCGCCUUUGAAAUUAGAUCAAUCUGGUGAAGUUAUUAUUGAUACAAACAGGCCCUCAGAUAUAUAACUGUGUGCUAAAUUCUGCUGUUCCCUGUGGGCUCAGUACACAUAGACACAACCCUCAUUGGUGCCCCUAAUCCAGGAUAACAUAUAAUAGGAUCCAUACCUGGGACAUGUUAAGAGAGAGCACCAUGCUGGGAGUACUCUGCAGCUGCUGGCAGGAUAUCUUGAGAUCAUGAAGUGUACAUCCAAAUUGGAUACAGACUGUGACCAUAACACUCCCUAGCCCACUGCUUGAAGCAGCCUAUUCAAACCCCAAGUGUGACAGCCCUACGUCCACAUUUAAAUCUGCUAUUCCCACUUUAGCCUCUUCAUAUUUGGUAUGUUCUAAAAGAAAUAUAAUUUUGUUACAAUUAUGAGAAUUAUCAGAAUUGCACUCCUGCCAGCCCUUUAAUUAUUGUGAUAUUCAGUCAUGCAUUUUUAGUCAAAUAUGUUUCAAGAUUAUUUUAAAUUACUUAAAUGCUUAUGUUUGUGCACAAAAUUGAACUCAAAGACUAGACAAUGCCUGAUUAUGAUCAUACACCAUAUCAAAGAAUGUUUUUUUCCCACAUUUUACAUUUUAUGGAGUAACUUUGUAUUAUGCAAAUUAGGGUUUAGGUUCAGUUCAGUAUUUGGCCUUUUUUGUAAAAAAAAAAAAAAAGUAAUAUUUCCCAAAUUCCAGAGUACUGCAGAAUUGUUGUAUAUUUUAAUAUAAACCUAAGAUCACAGAUGUUUUUCUAUGACUGUAUAACUACUGUAUGUUUUCCAUUUACAGUAUAUUAUUGAGUCUAAAAGGAUUAGUUGUGUCUGUGAGUAGUUAUAUAAAGAUUAAGAAGGGUUAAAAACUUUAGGUCAUUAGAGAGUAUACUAGGAUACUUCCAGUGGAUCUCUACAGGCUACCGAUGUGAACCAAUUUUUGACCUGGAAUCCAACUGCAAAGUAUGGUCACCUUAAGGAGAGGAGGAAUUUACUUAAAGGAUAGAUAUUCCCUGUGGAAACCUGUUGAACAGGUUUAAGUGUCCAUCAUUUGGUUGUUGAUCCUACAUGGCAGUGCUUAAAGUGAUACUGACACUAAAAACUACUCUUCAAAAUAUUAAUGUAUAUUGAAAGUUACCUAUAGGUCUUGAUUUUUGCUGAUAGGGCUGACUGUUUUGCCAACCUGACUGUCCAUUCUCAACCAAUCACAGUUUCUAAUGCUGACAGACAAAAAUUUGGCAGCUUCCUCAAAGAGUGCCAUGGGGGAUCAGAUAGACCAUGUAAAAGUAUCAAAAAAAUACUAUUAUGGCAAAAUUCGAAAUAGCAUGCAAAGACAUUGUUAUUAUAGAUUUAAAAAAAGUUUAAUUUGUGGUGUCAAUAUCUCUUUAAGGAAGCACCGUGAGAUAUAUGGGGCAAUAAGAUCAUAGUUUCUAGAAUGGUAAUGGGAAUUUGUUUAGCUGUAAAGACAUGGAUGUAAUUUUUGGUUUUAAUGCGACUCCAUGAUAUUGACUUUAUAGUAGUAUUCCACGUUAGGAACUCCAAAUCCUACCUCUUUUGUAUUUUAUUGUAAAAAUUUGCACUUGAUUCUUGGUUUCUCUCCUCCCCUGAUGUAUGUGUCAAAUGCCGUUUGGAUUUGGUUCAGGAAGGAAAUGAGGACCAAGAUUGGCAGUGUUCUGAAAAGGUAUAGCAUUUUCAGCAGUGGCAUCAUUUUGACUGCUGACAUUCUGCCCAUUCACGAGAUGUGUAGUGGGCUCCACAUUUUUAAUUGUGUUUGAAUCUCAAGGAGACUUGGUGGGUCGUUUCUGUUAUAGGUAGUUGUGAUGGAGUUUCCAAACUCAUUCCUAGGUGCACAAUUGAGUGUUGUUACCAUUAAAAAAAGAGUAGGCUUGCUGUAGUGGGGUAAGUUUUUCCGUGUCAACACAUAAUGGAAGGGCUUAGGUUUUGUUUAUAUUUCAUUUGUAAUAGGAGAUAUGGCUAUAAGUUGUUAGAAUUUGAAAGGUUGCUGCAAGUGAUUGCCUUGAGUUUGUGAGGGAUAGGAUGAUGUCAUCAGCAAACAGUGCCAGUUGAAUUUUAAGUUGCCUGUUUAGAUGCCAAUUUUUGCUUUGGAGUCUCUUAUAGUUUUGGCCGAUGAUUCUAGGAUUAAGUUUAAAAUCAAAGGGGACAGUGGGCAACCCUGUCUUGUUCCAUUGGUGAUGUGAAAUGGAUCUGAGAGGAACCCCAUAUUAGUGACUUGGGCUGAUGGCUCAGUAUAUAGGGCCAGUAUUGCUCGGUAUAUGGGACAUUUAAAACCUAGGCUUGUAACGUUGCGACCAUGUACUUCCAGUUUCCUCGUAGCUGAUGUGGUAGCAAGUUUAGCUGUCUUGAGGGGUGAGCAUAAGAAAUUGUGUGAAGAGGUAAGUGAUCGCAAAGAUGUAGCCAGUGCUGGCUGUGCGAUUACAGCCCAAAUAUUCUGACUAAAUUCCUCUGUGUGCGGAGCUCCUUACCCUGCAUCUGGCCUCAUCUGCAGUUGAAUGUGAUGUUAAAUAAUAAAAAAUAUAUAUGUUUUCCUAUUAUUUACAUGAGGGAAAGCUGUGUACUCGUGUAUCUAAUAAGUAUAUAAAAUUUAAUGUAUAGAUAUUUCAAGAAUCUGUAGUGCUUAAAAAUCUUUUUAUUGUAGCAUUCUCAGUUUGUUUCCAAGCUACAGUCAUCAUCCAAACAAUCACAGUAGAAUAAAGAAAAAGUAUUAAGAACAAUGCUACAGUACAGAUAAAAAAAAUGUUUAUGGCCUUGUGAAUGUGAAACUUUUAAUUUAACUUUCAUUUGUACCAAAAUAUCGUGUGAGAUUGAUAAAAAAGCAAGAAUAAUAAUUUGAGACAAUAUCAAAAUGUGCUGCCACAAUAAUAUUAAACAUGUUUAAUACUUUAAAAGAAACAUGUGCAUGUAGAUUUACAGCUAAACCAGCGUCUUGCCACAAGUUCAAGUUAAACAUAUGUUUUUGUAUUAUAUUGAAUCUAUCCAUCCCUCCAGACCAUUUGUGAAUGCACCAAAUCUGACAAGUACAACAUUUUUCUGAGACAAGACUCUAUAAUCCUAUUAUUCAUUCAUCAGCAUGCAUGUGAUAGGGGAAACCAAAUCAAACUCAGCCAAAAAAAAGAGCAGCUAGGAGCUUUUUCUGGCAUUGUGGGGCUCAGCUUAGCUGGGGCACAAUAGGUGUGUAAUUUAAGUUUUUUGUUGAGCUCAAAUCCAAUCACAUACUUGAGUGGAGGAUCAUAGGCAAACACACGCGAAAGGAAUGAGAUAAUUCCUGCCUCACACAACCAUUGGUUUUCAGGCUUUGAUUUGAUCAACCUUCCACUCACAAAGUCCUUUCUGCUUCCAGCCCUUUCUUGUAUUGAAAUGCUCUUUGAACAGUCUCAGGAACGCCUCUCUGGGGUAGCGUGAAUUAAGGUAACUCUGUUGUGUGUUCAUUAUUUCUUCUGUAAUCCCAAUGAGACUUUUCCAGUUAAGGCUUAUUCCUCAAUCCUUGGA